CUCCUGACCUCAGGUGAUCCGCCUGCCUCAGCCUCCCAAAGUGCUGGGAUUUCAGGUGUGAGUCAAUUUUGCUCCCUGGCGAGUUGCCCCUCUUUAAAACUUACGAUUGAAGAGGAGAUGACAAGUAAAGAAAUAUUUUUUAACUAUAGCUUUACCUAAGUGUGGUGUUUGGAUAUGUUUUAUGUAUUUAUAUUCAUAGAUUUUAUGUAUGUAUAGAACGAUUUCUAUUAUUUAGACAGCAAUAAUUAAUAAAUAUUUCUGUUAUUUAAACUGUUUGAAAGUUAAUUGUUACUCUAAGCAGUAGGUGGUAUUUCACAGUCAUACCUUACAUUUGUCUCAUGAAAGCCUUGCUUUCAUAUAUCUCAUGUACACACAAGGCAACCACUCAUAAAGUGUCUGUCACUUCUGACUUCCAGCAACCUGCCUGGUUCCAGCACACAUACACACACAUAUUUGUACACUCAUAUACACAUAUAUAAUAUCCCUACAUCUUUAUGCCUUUAAUAAUCUAGAGACUAAGCCUAAUUUUUCUGGGGGAGAGCUAGUGGGUACAGCUUUCAGAGAUUGAGUAAACCAUUUUCAGUUGGAUUGGCCUGAAAUUGUAGCAGAGCUAAUCGUCACUGAUAUCAUAGAGCUACCACUCUUAAAAUCAAGUUCCAUCAUUUCCCCAAGUACACAGAUGUUAUCCUUGUUAAGUAGUGACAGUCACCAAUAAUGCUAAUUUGGCCCACUUUGGAGAACUACUUCUAGCACUGGCAGCUUUGCAUGUUGAGUGCCAUAGAAAUGAGAAUGUGACCCAAGAAGCAGUUUCCAGGUUAGGUUUCAUGGAGUGAUUGCACUGAGGACCACAGUUAUCUGUUUUGGAAAACAGAUGGAAAUUUGCAGAAAAGGAACUCACUAAUAAUGAACUUUAUAUGCCAUUUCUGCAUAAAUAUUUAAAAGUUUUUAAAAUUUAUUCUUACUUCAACCAACAUUUAUUGAGCACUGAUACUAUGCCAGGUACUGAGCUAGGAGCUGAUGAACAAGAUAAAAUCACUGCCAGCAAGGAGCUCCCUGCCUAGAGAGGGAUCCAGGCAAGGAAAAACAUAGAUGCCAAGGCAGCAUGACUGUGGCCUGCUAUAGAGCUGGGCACCAUGUGGAGGCCUGAGGGCUCUUGAGCUAUGGAGGAAUUUGCCUAGUUGUCUUAAGAGGGCUGAGUUCAAGGCUGCAGUGAGCUACCAUCAUACCACCACACUCCAGCCUGGGUGACAGAGAGAGACCCUGUCUCAAAAAAAAAAGAGGGGGCUUUCAUGUAAAGCAUGUACAAAGGUACAGAAUUAAGAGGCAAAAUGACACAUGACACAUUUGUUGGACUGGAAUAGUUGGGAUUUCUUGGAGCACAGAUGUGGAAGUGGAGUGAAGAUGAAUUAGAAAAAUAGGAAAUGCUGAGGAGUUUGGGUUAUACCCAAGGAUGAUGAGGAGCCUUGAAAACAUUUUAAGAAGGGAAACAUUAUUCAGUUGGAGGAUGACUGGAGAGUGAGCGGUGGCAGGGAGUUUUAGUAACACAGGUGAUAGGGCAGGGGACCAUAAAUAGGAGAAUAAAAGCUAAACUUGAGAGAAUAGAGGGAGUAGAAUAGACAUGACUUAGUGACUGGAUAUGAGGACAGAAGGGAGAAUCUAGAACUUUUGGUUUUUCUGGGUGGUGGUGCUGUGGCACAUAAUAGGUGCUUGGUAAAUAUUUGUUGAACAAAUGAGUGUGCUUGAAAUAUAGGAGGAACAUGUUUUUAAGGGCUGAAAUAAUCAGUUUGGUUUCAAACAGAUUGAGUUUGAAAGGUCCUUUGAUGAUGGAGGUAGAAAAUGUCUGCUAGGUAGUUCAAGUUGCGUUUUGGAUUACAAAAGAGGGAGAAAUCAGGGAUGGAGAUAUAUACUUGGAAAUUAUCAGCAUAUAGAUGGUAAUUGAAGCCCUGGGAACAGAUGAGUUCACUGGGAAAGAGUGUAUAUAUUCUUCUGGAGUUAAGGAGAAGCACAUAGUUGGGACUCAUCAGCAUAUAGGCUUAAGUUGGAAGUCGUGAGUGUGGAUGAUAUUUUCCAGGCUUUUGCAUGUGGCAUGUAUUAAAAUGUAUUUUGCCAACAUCUGAUGAUUUAAAAAAAAAACCUGCCAAAGACUUCAAGAACCCUCUUGAUUAAGAGAAAGUAUGAGUAUAUGUUGUCAUGAUCCAAGACUCUGCAAAUAAGAUAAUGUACUACCAAACACACACACGUGCAUGUGCACACGUGCAUACACACACAUCUCUAUGUAGAGGAAUAUAUUAGAAUCAAAGAAUCAGACUUCUAUUAUUCUUGAUAGUAAUAAUGAAUAAUUAUGCAUGUUAUUUAAAUGGAAAGGCUGGACAUGGUGGCUCACACCUGUAAUCCCAGCACUUUUGAAGGCUAAGGUGGGAGGACUGAUUGAGCCCAAGAGUUCAAGACCAGCCUGGGCAACAUAGUGAAACCCUGCCUCUUCAAAAAAUAGAAAAAUUAGCUGGGCAUAGUGGCAUGUACCUGCAGUUUCUGUGACUCAGGAGGCUGAGGUUGGAGGAUUGCCUGAGCCCAGAGGCAGAGGUUGCAGUGAGCUGAGAUCACGGCACUGCACUCCAGCCUGGGUGACAGAGUGAGACUUUGUCUCAAAAACAAAACAAAACAAAACAAAACAAAAAAAACGCUGAAAGUUAUUAGCUGUUACUCUUAGCAGUAGGUGAUCUUUCACAAUCACACAUUACAUUUGUCUUGUGAAAGCCUUGCCCUCAUAUAGCUCACGUACACACAGUGCAACCACUCGUAAAGUGUCUGUAGCUUCUGAGUUCCAGCAACUUUAGUGGUUCCAACAUGGUGGCUCCUCUGUCCCUCCCCCAGGGCAGUACUUUCCCAAUGUAAAGAAUGAAAACUGUAACAAUAUGUAGCUUUUGGAGCUCUGGUCUGUAUUCUGCUUCAGACUUGGCCCUGAUGGCUGGUCUCUGAAACAUGUGGUUCCAAGUAAACGCUAGGAAUACUUGUGUAAUUGGGCUGAUCUUUCAUAAGUGUCUAUGGAGAUGUAUUAUUUUUUGGUUUAGGGGUUGGGGAGGGUUGUAUAAUUUUCUGUUUCUCUGGCAUAAAUGGUUUCUUUCAUUUCUCUGUUGUUUAAGAGAUUGCCUUCAUCAGUGUUUCUUUCAACAUAAGCUUGAAACUCCUUGUAUUCCAGUUGAUUUUUUGACACCACUUUCAGGUUGGUGGAAUAGUUUAGAAGGACCACGAGGGAAGAUUAUGGAAAUUAAUCUUUACUGAGUGCCUACUAUAUGUCAAUUACUUUAUAUUUAACCUCUCAUUUAAUCAACACAGGAAACCUGAAAGGUAGGUGGUGUCAGCUCCAUUUUACAGAUGAAGAAACUGAGGCUCAGAAAGGUUUACUUACCCAAAGGUUGUGUAAGUGGCGGAGCCGGAAUUUUCACCCAGGUUUGUCUUACUCCAUAGCUCAUGCUGUUUCCAGAAUACCUACUGGAGUAUGAGAGGAAGGGAUAUAGUCUGGAUAUAAAGUAUUUGACUUAAAUUCCCAUACUCUGUCAACUUCUGUGACACUGUGUACUCUGGGUUCCCUUCCUACUCGCUUCAGUCUUUGCUUGUUUGCCCUCUUCCUCCUACACUUUGGAUGUAAGUGUCCCAGUAGUGUUUGUCUUUUGCCCUUUCCGUUCUCUCUUUGCUUAUUCCCACAUCCAUUCCCAUGACUUCAUUAUCUUUGCUCUUUGAAUGAUUCAACCUGACCUCUUCCUUGCUCUUCAGCUCAGUAUUUCCCAGUUGUCUGCUGGACAUGUCCAUCUGGAAGUCCUGCCAGUGCUUCAUUUUCAACAGAGCCAAAAAUUAGUCCAUUAUUUUCUUUUCCCAUCCACACAAACCUGCCUCUCCUUAACGUUCUAUAUUUCUGGUGAUGGUAUCUCUGUCUGGCACCAACUCGAAACCUUGAAAUUGUCUUUGAUUUCUCCUUUUACCCAUCCCACACCCAAAUUAAGUGACUAAAUCUUGCAAGUCUACCUCUGUCUAUUAUGUCUCUCACUCUUAUGGCCUUGGCGUGCAUGCCCUCUAUUUAAGUAUAACAGACUGAGCCAAUGAAUGAGAAUGUGAUAUUGAAUGGGCUAGGGAGAGCCAGUAGGAUCUCUGCUCAGUGGCUAAUAAUUUGUAACUAGUUGGAAAGUACUGCCUUUGCUGCCUUAGAUGGGUAGAACCUCUAGUCUUGGCCUUGGCUUAAUUUAAUGUGACCAGAGGCAGCUAUCUCCUGAGAUCAUUUGGCUCUUCCCAUAGGGAACUAAUGGUUUCCCACUUUUUCUUUUGCUGGCAUUCUGGGGUAUAUCUUACUUGGCCAUCUCCAGAAGUCAGAGUGGAACUAUUGAAGAGUUUCAAAGAGCUGUGGAAGAACUGUGCUCAGUGUUUCAAAUAGUCCUUUCUGUUUUCAGAAACAGGUUUUCUGCUUUGUUUUCAAACUUCAAAGUUUAUUUCUGAAAUAAAGGAUUAUUUUCCCCAUGGUAUUCUGAAGGUUUUAUACAAGUGUUAAUUUCUAAAACCUAAGUCAUUUCUUGGCUUUAAAACUUCAGUGCUGUGGGUCAAUUUAAUAACGUUGCCUGAAGGGUUUUUUGGCCUUCAAAAGCUGUCAGAUUGCUUUUUCUUUGUUCUUUGAGAGUGUAAGGUUGCCUCAUUUAUGAAGCUUGAAGGAGAUGUUGGAACCAGCAUUUAUUCAAUCAUUCAGAGUCUUUUCCCAACAAUAUCCAGUUUUAGCUUCAAAUUAGAUCCUAGUGGUAAUGAAAUUUACUACCAACUAAUAAUUCGGGGUAAAAUGGGUAAGAUUCUUGAAAAGCUCCUCAACAUUUCAUAGAGUAGUGAUAAGAAGUAGCCUAGGUUACUCUAACACCCACAGUUAAGGGGAACAACGGAUGUUCUGUGCACUCUCAUCACAGCCCUCCUGGGGCUCAAUAUACCUCUGAAGCUACUGAGGGCCCUCCUUCUGUCUGUUGGACUGUUCUCCGCAUCUUCCUUUCUCCCCUUCCUCCUACCCUCACACCCUCUCUCAACUGAUUAUAAUUUAGAACAGAAGGUGCUUUAUGGUUUUUUAUAUUUAUUAAAUGGUUUUGUUUCUUGUUCUCUCUUAAAAAAAAGAUGAGUGGAAUGUUUUAUAUUUUCCUCUGCAUUUUAGUUUUAAGCUGUGUUUCCUUUCCCCGUAGCUUCUGAUUUCCAUCUCUCCUCUCUCUUCCUCCAUUUUCCUCUGCCUUCUCCACUUCUGUCUGUCCUCAAUGGAGAGAAAACAGGCUUUCAAUUUCUGCCCACAUAUUUUAUUUGGGUACCUGGUUUACUUAUCUUGAGAUAUUGUAAAAUACUAUUCUUUAGUUUGAAAAUGAAGAGCCCUAAAAUAUACACCAAUGAAUUUACAUUCCAUUUUCUAAGAACUGAGUAUUUAAAAAGCUUUCUAUACAGAUAGAACAAGGCUAGAUGACCUGACUUGUGUACCUCAGAUCAUUGCUAUGUAGUUUACAUUCUGUCUCACCUUGUCAUAACUCUCAAUAAAUGAAAAUUGCAUCUUUGUUCUUAGAAAUCUCUUUUCUUACAUUGAAUGCUUUCCUUUUUUCUGAAGAUAAGGGAGCCCCUUUGAAACAGCGCUAGUGUGGGUUAAAACUGACACCUACCUUGUAAGCUAACCAAAUUAUAACCUGCUUUUCCCUGAUGAAGUUAUCACACUUCAGGGACAUUGUUUUGCUUGUGGGGUUUUAUUGUCCCAGUUUCAAUUUUGACUGCAGGUUAGAGAUUGUAUUCCAAUUGGACUAUUCCUUGGUAUUUUUUCUCUUUGUCUUUAUACUUAUGGGGCUCUGUUGUUUGUCCUGUAUCUAUUAUCUCUUCCAAGCUUGGCCAAGGUUGUUAGGUUAUGCACUUAUGUAUAAAUAUUUAACAAGAUAAGUUAGACAAAAUGUGCUUGAAGACAUUUAAGCCCUGUUCCCCACCUUCCCACCACCCCACCCCCCAGCUCAUUUUUUUGCAUAGAGUCGCAGAUAGUUGCUUUAUCUCAGAUGUUUAGAUUUGGAGGACAUUCCUUUGCACUUUGCUUGAUGGACACAAUUAAAUGGAAGCCUUUUAGUCAAUCUUGACUACCAAAAUAGUAGCACCAAGUAACAGAUAACAUUAGGUUCUUCUUCCUAUUUUUUUUUUUUUCUAACUGGUUAUCCAAACUCCCUUAAGCCAGAGAGUUUUAGGUAUGAGAUUGUGUGUUUUUUAAGAAAAUAUUACGGAUAAAGACUAAUGUUCUCAAGUCAGGAAUAACAAUUAGUACCAUUCAUUAAUCAGGAGGCAUGUUUUGACUCUGGGUCCUGGCUAGGAAAUAUAAACUGUGAAAGUCACACAUAUAUAUGAACCUCAAGCAAAUUUAUGACUUGUCAGCCUUUUAAGGUUAAAUUCUUAACCCCAGAUCGGAGCUGGCUUUAUAUGUGGAGCCCGGCACAUUCCUCUGGGCCACUGAGCACGCCCCUCCCCAGCCCUUUGCUUAACAGCAGCUAGUGGCCUAAUGAGCAAGAAGGAUUUCUGUCUCUUAUCAGCUGCCUAAACAGCAACAGGAAGGCUGAUAUACGGAGUACAGGUCAAAACCUGAGUUCUUGAACCAAAAAGCUACAAGGAGAAGCAGACAUGUAGACAGACGACGGCCAUGUAUGGAGUGGUCCCCACGUUGAUUGAGGGGGAAAGAGGAAGAAAUGGGAAGACCAGUGGCUUGAACCUGUGGGAAUGCUACGUCACGAAGGCAGCCCAGCAGCCUGGGGUUAUAGGUAUUUCUUUUCCUGUUUGGUGAAGGUCAUCCUUUGAGUUGAACUGCCUCAAUGAUUGUAUCAACCUGUUUCCAUCAUUGCCUCAACCCAGUGUAGCAUCAGCUACCUUGAACCCAGCACUCCUAAGACAUGCAUGGUCAGCACAGUUUGGGCCAACUGGCCUCAUAGUGUCACCAUUUCCCUUUCAGUUUUCCCUUAAAAAGUAAAAAGCAGGCUGGACACGGUGGCUCAUGCCACCCAGCACUUUGGGAGGCUGAGGUGGGCAGAUGACUUGAGCUCAGGAUUUCAAGACCAGCCUGGGCAACAUGGCAAAACCCCCCAUCUCUACAAAAAUAAAAAAUAAAUUAGCUGGGCAGGGUGCUGUGCACCUGUAAUCCCAGUUACUUGGGAAGCUGAGGUGGGAGGAUCGCUUGAGCUUGAGAGGUGGAGGUUGCAGUGAGCCAAGAUUGCACCAUUGCACUCCAGCCUGGGCAACGGGAGUAAAAUCUUGUCUCAAAAAAACAAAACAAAACAAAACAAACAAACAAAAAAACUAAAAAAUAAAUGAGGCAGAUAUUCCUGAACCAAACUGCUGUCCUCUCAAGAGCUGGUGGUUUUCUGAAGACAAGUUAUAUAAGACUGGCAAGCCACAGGGAGACUCUGGAUCCAGGCUUGGUUCAUUCCGCUUGAUCUAGAGCCCUCCUGGUGCUACCUCUUGGAGCCCACACUGGGAUCUGGAGAUCUCUGUGUCUGAAUCACCCACGAUUUGAUGGGAGAAUGAAGUUACUCUUAACUGUUUUUGAGUUUUUCACUAAAAUCAUAGGAAUGGAAGGGAAAUCUCCAAAUCACCUGUUUGGAUAAUUUAUUUGUGUUUUUCAUAGCUCCUGAAGAAAGCAAGGAGUAAAAAAGUUAUUACUGAGCAUCAUUGAAAAAUCUUUUAUGUGUUGCAUUCAUAACCUAAUAUUUCCCUCAAUUUUAGGAAACAUUUGGUUCAGAGAAAAGUGAAUUCACUAAUGUACGUGUGGGUGUUUUGGAAACAAUGUCCUCUAGCUUCCAGUGUCAGCUUACCAAGAACUCUUGUGUCUCCAAGUUUCUUAUAGUUGCUCUGCAGUGCUUUGCUUGCCAACUCUACUCCUGUGCACUUUCUCCUCCAUUAAAUCUCUUCCACAGCAAAGGGUUGCCACCAAGUCUAGACUUUAGUAACAUGCAGAAGGAGGGUGAAUUAGUGAGGAUUCUGAUUUGCAUUACAUGAGGGUAGGAGAAGGAGGAAAAUCUAUCCUUCCCAGUCCUUCAGAUACUCAAGUUCUAACACAACACUAUGUUGAAGAUGUAUAAAAUUACUGGAGCAUUUACACAGCUAUUCCCCAAGAUGGCAUAAAUGCCACAGCACUAGAGCACGUUAGUAUAGACACUCGGAUAAGCUGAAGAAUGGGAAAAAGGAAAAGAUCAAUAACAGCGCUUCUCACUCGGGGAUCAAGAGUGAGUGUUUGAUUUUCUUUUGGUUGCAUUUUGCUCAGGUGCAGUGUGUAUGUUGUACUAACAAGGCAACUGAUUCCUUUUUCCACAGGUUCCUAUCAUAGGGAAAGGGGAAAGAUAUAAUAGAGGGCACGGAUUAUUUACAGUGGCCGAGAAUGUAAUUACAAGGCGCAAUGGCUUGAAACUGAAAUUUAAGUUAGCUAUUAGAGCUGGGAGAAGCAUCUUAACAGUAAGGGCAGUUGGGCAUUGGAAAGAUUUGCCUGGGAGCUUGUUAAACAACAUCUCCAGGAAUGCUGAAGACCAGGAUGGGGGAAUGUGAAGAAAAGCUCAUAUCAAAUUCAGAGUUGUGCUGGAGGCCCAGACUGAUCUGCAUCUUUCAUUAUUGCCUAGCUCCCUUUAUGAUUAUUCAAUUGCUAAUAGCUUGAAACAAUUUUUUUCAUGUAUUCAAAAUAUGCCUAAUUUGGUAAGCAUAACAAAAGAAAUGCCUUUGAGCAGUGAGAAUGAGGCUUUUAGACUGGUCUGAGCAUUCUUCUAACAGACUUUCUGGAAUAUGGGCCAACAACGGAGACAAUAUUAUUAGUAUUUUUUGCUUCUGCAAGACUUUUUCCUUCUUAUUAUAUGGGACUAUUGCUGUUAAAGUAGUAUUCGGCCUCUAUUAAUAUUACUUCUUCAAAGCUGACCUUACAGAAAAUUUGGUUUUAGUCCCUGUUUAUCUUUUUCUUGAUCUUUCCCCCCUUUUUAACACUUCUCCAGUACUAUCCAGGUGUUCUGGGUUGCCUCUCUCCCCCCUACUCCUUCUAUCCUGUGCUAGAGGAAGAUUCCUAGUAAAGUCUUUAGCCCUGAGGUAUGAGGGCAUUACUCACAGAGUGCUAUACAUGAAGACAACACGUGAUGAAAUGGCUUAACCAAAGUAGUAACUCACCAAUGAUGAAACAUUUAGAUAUUAUUAGGCAGAAACAUUUAGGUUGGGUAGAGGAGGAAAGAGAGUGUAUUAGUUUCCUAGGGCUGCCAUAUCAAAUUACCUCAAAUUGGGUGGCUUAAAACAACUGAAAUUUAUUCUCUCACAGCCCUCAUGGUCAGAAGUCCAAAAUCAAUGGGUCAGCAGGGCUGUGCUCUCUUCAUAGAUUCUCAGAGAGAAUCAUUCCUCGCCUCUUCCGGCUUCUGGUGGCUCCAGGCAUUUUUCGGUUUGUGGUUGUAUCAUUCCAAUCUCUGCCUCCAUCCUCACAUGGCCUUUUACUCUUCUUGUGUCUCUCCUCUGUGUGUCUCUUAUAAGGGCACUUGUCUUUGGAUUUAGGAUCCACCUAGAUAAUCCAGGAGGAUUGACACCUCUCCAGUCCAGUCCUAUCCAGGUGUUCUGGGUUGCCUCCCUCCCCACUACUCCUUCUGUCCUGUGCUGGAGGAAGAUCUCUAGCCUGAUCCUUAAUUACAUCUGCAAAGACCCGUUUUUCCAAAUAAGGUCACAUUUACAGGUUCCAGGGUUUAGGACAUGGACAUAUAUUGGGGGUGGGGGGGGGUGACACCAUUCAACCCACCAUAUAGAGGAGAGCUUUCUGGGGCCUUCUGAAUCAUACCAGUUUACCAGAACUCUCUACUGUAAGGAGGAACUUGUUUGAAGAAAUCUUAAAGUUAGUUGUAAAGUGUCAGAAAUGUCAGUGCGCUUCCUGAGAGGGAUGUGGGUGGCAACUACUGUUAACUCAUUUUUUAAAUGGUUAAAUUGAGGACCUGGGAAAUAAAAUGACUUAAAGUUAGUUGUAAAGUGUCAAAAAUGUCAGUGUGCUUCCUGAGGGGGAUGUGGGUGGCAACUACUGUUAACUCAUUUUUCAAAUGGUUAAAUUAAGGACCUGGGAAAUAAAAUGACUUACCCAAGUCACUGGAUCAGAAGAAGAGUUCUGAACAAGAUCAGAAAAAGAGGUCUGAAACAAUGAGUCUUACCCAAGUCACUGGAUCAGAAGAAGAGGCCUGAAACAAGACAGAUCUACUUCUGGCCACCAGAGCUGUGAGAGAAUAAAUUUCAGUUGUUUUAAGCCACCCAAUUUGAGGUAAUUUGAUAUGGAAGCCCUAGGAAACUAAUACACUCUUUCCCCCUUUACCUGACCUAAAUGUUUCUGCCCAAUAAUGUCUACAUGUGUCAUCAUUGGUGAGUUACUACUUUGGUUAAGCCAUUUCACCAUGGGCUUUAGGUCUUACCUCAUCAUUCUUGUUGAACUUUUUUCCUGAAAAAAUAUAAUAUUUUUUCUAAGCAUUUUUGCCACGGGAAGGCAAUUGUUGCUUAUUAUGCACCUGAAAAACCUUUUUGCAGGAUCUGUAGGAUCAAGGCAGUGGUGCACUUGCAAUCUACUGCAGCUUUCCACCUGGUCUUUGUGGUUUGCUGAAAGAUCAGCUACAGGGAAUUUUAGAAGCCAGAACAUCUGUGAAGCAAAAGCCUUCCUUUUUAGAUUCAGGCAUACUGAGUUUUAGGUACAACUUGCGUGCAAAGUGGUAAAUAUAUGGUUUUCACAGAUGAGAUAUUCUCUGAAGAAAUGCUGUCACACUUGUUUAUGACAAAAAGACCAGUUCUAACAUUUAUGGCUGUGGGGCAUCUCUCCUCUGAUGCAUUAUCAGAGCAUACCAGUGACAACUGUGGUGUGUCAAGAGAUUAGUGAGUUAGAGUGUGGCCUUCAUGGAAACAGAGAGAAAGGAACCCUGGGGGUCACCAGAUUCAGCCUCCCUCCUACCUAGUGUAGGAGUCCAUUCUGUGGUAUAUGACAUUGCUACCCAAAUUAUGCCUGAAUGCCUCAAGAGACAGGGAGAUUACUAUGUAUAGGAAGUAGGCUGUCAUUGUUGACUAAUAUUUGUUCAUUAAUUCAGCAACCAUUUAUUGAGUGUGUACUAUGUACUGGACACUAGGCCAUGUCAGGGAAUACAGAGAUGGCCAAAAUAUAGCUCUUGCCCACAGAAACCUAUAACUUAAUAGUAGGGAUAAGAAAGGUAUACCAAUGACUACAAAACCUAGAUUGCAAAACACAUUGUUAGAGAAGUACAAAAUGAACAGAAAAUUCUGAGAGAUAACAGCUCAAAGAGUUCAUUUGGAGAGGAGGGGAGAAACAUGAAAGACACCUGAGAGAGACCUUAUGGAUGAGAAUAUUUUAAUAGCUGAAGCUAGGGAAAGAGUGCUUCAGAGACAGGAAAAGCAUGAGCGAAACAGGGAAGCAGGAAAUGGAGGCAUGUGUUUGGAAAACAUUAAAUAAGAGUUUAAUUUAAUUCUCACAACGACCUUGAGAGUAGGUGUUAUUGUCUCCAUUUUAUAGGUAAGGAAACUGAGGCUCAGAGAUUAAGUAACUUGCCUAAGAUCACACAGCUAAGUGGAUGGCCAAGUUGAGGUUCACAUUCUGGUCUGUCUGAUUUCAGAGUUUUUCCCUUUGCCACUGCAUGCCAUCCAUCAGGAGGAUAUCUGCCAUUAGUUGGCUUCUGGAGAUACAGGGGCAUAUAUGUAAAAGGACAUGUGGUUAUUACUUGGGAUACAAUGCUAUAAAGGCCAACUUGUUGGUCUUUGCCUUAGCCCCAUAUCCGUAUUCAUGUAUCUUCAAGUGAUAUUGACAAAGCGUUCCUAAAAGGGCGAAAGCAAGUCCUUUGCUUCUUUUGUGUCCUCCCAAUGCCCGGUUGAGAAUGGGCUCAGUGAAUAUUGAUUACCCUACAAUUGGGAAACUUAGAUUUGCUAGUCCAAUCCCUUUGAGGAAAACAGGCCCAGAUUUGGGAACACACUUGAUAAAGUCACACAGCUGAUUUGGUAGCAGAGCAGAUAAUAACAUUUUAGCUUUGAUAGGGAAGAGCUCUUUUCCCUCUGAUGUGAUUUCAUACAUGUUGGGGAGGGACCUAGCACUUAGAUUGGGCCUAGGGUGUUGAAAUUCUCAGCUCUGCCUCAGGUCUGCGUAUUUAAAGAUUGUAUCUGAAAAAUAAAAAUUAAACAUCUUCUGAAAGACAGGGUCUCAGCUACUUAUCUGAGUAGAAUAACAAUUAGUGAAGAAGUGACUAGGGGAGGCAGGAAAAUUACCUCAGUUUAGUCCCUCUGGCAGAAUUCUAAACUAGAAGAUUCUGCAUCCCAACUCCAGCAUAGCUGGCAUUGUUCUCCAACCCAGUUUUCUUUUUAUUAGGGUGUUUCCCCUCAUCUAAAUAAUCAAUGAUGUGCGUGUAUGUGUGUGAAUACUUUCGCUUUUCUAAAAGUUGCUCUAGUAGCAUCAAUUAAUCUGACCCAGUUCCUUUAAAACUGAACUCUCUUGAAAUUCUGACAUUACCUCCAAGUGAAAGGGGAGAACAUCAAGCCCAAACUACAAUGGGCCCCUUGAGACACAAAGAUGAAUCACUCAAGGGUCCUUCCCUCAAGGAACUUAAAUCUAGUGGAAAUAAGGCAUGCAUAUAUAACUUUGUUGCAAUAUGGAGAGUGUGAGAAGUGUCUUUAUAAAGACUGGAGAGUUCCGUGGGAAUUCAAUGGAUAGAAAGCUUUUGGAGUUCAUCUCCUUCUGCUCCCAUAAACAUUCUUUCCCAUGGGAAUCCAGUCCAAAGAUAA